UGAACUUGUAUGGCAGAAGCAGGAGUUCUACGAUGAAAGCUUCAGUUUCCACUGCAGCUCCCAAAUAUCAGCAGCACAAUCAAACCUAAGGCACUGGUGAUAUAACUUUACAUGGGUCAGUUUCCCUUCACUUUGAUACUGGAGAGGAUUGGUGUGCGGUUAUGGAUUUACCUUGCCUAUCUGCUUGACAUUACAAGAAAGUUUUCUGCUGUUUCUCAUUGAGCACAUCUGUCAAAUACUUCUUGCAGGUCGCUCCACUAAAGCUUUCCUGUAUGUUCUCAGCAACGGAAUGUGUCUGACCACAUCUUCUGGCACUCGCGACCCAGGUUCAAUUCCGCCACAGCCUGUAAGGAGUUUGCCCGUUUUCCUCCAUGACCACAUGGGUUUCUUCCUGAUGAUCUGGUUAUCAUACAGGUCCUCAGGUCCGGGCAAAAUCCUUGUAAAAGGUGUAGUAAUCAGUUGGUGCAGUCAUCGGAUAGUGCAACAAUUAAUUGGUGUGUAAUCGGCUGACAAG